AUUGAACGCUGGCGGCAUGCCUUACACAUGCAAGUCGAACGGUAACAGGUCUUCGGAUGCUGACGAGUGGCGAACGGGUGAGUAAUACAUCGGAACGUGCCCGAUCGUGGGGGAUAACGAGGCGAAAGCUUUGCUAAUACCGCAUACGAUCUACGGAUGAAAGCGGGGGAUCUUCGGACCUCGCGCGGACGGAGCGGCCGAUGGCAGAUUAGGUAGUUGGUGGGAUAAAAGCUUACCAAGCCGACGAUCUGUAGCUGGUCUGAGAGGAUGAUCAGCCACACUGGGACUGAGACACGGCCCAGACUCCUACGGGAGGCAGCAGUGGGGAAUUUUGGACAAUGGGCGAAAGCCUGAUCCAGCCAUGCCGCGUGCAGGAUGAAGGCCUUCGGGUUGUAAACUGCUUUUGUACGGAACGAAAAGCCUCUUUCUAAUAAAGAGGGGUCAUGACGGUACCGUAAGAAUAAGCACCGGCUAACUACGA
rnacentral:rRNA from 1 species